CAGCAGCCGCGGUAAGACAGAGGAUGCAAGCGUUAUCCGGAAUGAUUGGGCGUAAAGCGUCUGUAGGUGGCUUUUCAAGUCCGCCGUCAAAUCCCAGGGCUCAACCCUGGACAGGCGGUGGAAACUACCAAGCUGGAGUACGGUAGGGGCAGAGGGAAUUUCCAGUGGAGCGGUGAAAUGCGUUGAGAUCGAAAAGAACACCAACAGCGAAAGCACUCUGCUGGGACGACACUGACACUAAGAGACGAAAGCUAGGGGAGCAAAUGGGAUUAGAUACCCCUGUAGUCCCUGUCUCUUAUAC
rnacentral:rRNA from 1 species